GGGUGCUAAGAAGGAUCAAUGAGGUCUCCCUGAGCAAGGUGGUGUAGACUGGGGCAGAGAAAGUGAUGCUGUCCCUACUAAAAAGAGGGGAAAUGUCUGAGACAUCCAGCAUAAAUGCUGGGAUGGAAGUCACAGAGGAUGGCAGCACUAUUGUUACCACCUGCGCUGUGCAACCAGGGCCAGGAAUCAGCUGCUGAUGCUGUGUAACGAUUUUGGAAAGCCCUUUUCUCCUUCACUGCACGCAGCCCAAACAGAAGCCGUGUCCAACAGAUUCCUGCAAGGCACAGAGCUCCAGGAGCUUCUCCCACCCACCAGCAAGACGCUGCUCCGCACUGAGCACACAUUCUCCCUGGGACGGACGGUACCGAAUCCUCAGAGGACACAAAGUUGGUCCCGAUCCCUGGGGUCAGAGGGAGGGAGAGGCGCUCGGAGCCGCCGCAACGCCGGGCCAGCAGCUCCGCCUGGCGGGGCGCGACCGCAGCGCAGAGCCAAACCCUGGGACGGAGGGGAAGCGGGGUGAGAUGCGAGCUGGAGGCUUAACCUGUUGGUCUGAGGAAUGCAGUGAGGGAAAGAGGAAAGAAAGAAAGGAAAAAUUGCAUCGAUGCCUUCCACGCACCCCAAUGCAAAGGAGGAAUUCUGACACAGCGAACCCCUUGGUGCUGAGGGCACUGAGUGAUGCUCUGUAACUGGGCAGAAGAAAUGGUGGCAAAGCUGCUUUUUGUGAAUCUCAGGAAAAUGAACGCUGUCUCUAAACUUAGCACUGAACUGAUGUGCAGUGGAUGGCACCACUGAUUCCCAGAGGAGGGCUGAGGGUGUGGGGGAGCUGGGGAAACACAACUUGGGCAAGUGGAGUCUGUCCCUGCUCUCUCCAUCUCUCUCCACCUGUCCCACAUGCCUGCUCUUUCCAAAAGUGAACAGGACACAGUAAGGACACUUCUCCAUGAGAGCUUUAUGCAUGCUGGGCUGUUUCUAACAUCAGCCAGCUCAGAGCUACCUGGGGCAAUGCAGCAACAAGCGCUGGCAGGAGUCCUGUCCACACAAAGCAGCUAGCUCCAUUUUCAUUUGUUUUACAGACGGCUUCUCCCCCUCCACGUGUGAGCAGCUGGCUCCUGCUGCGACUCCAGCAUCUCACACAACCACUGCUUCAUCUCCUGAGGCGCAGGGCAGCGCUCCAUCCCUCUGCUCACAGCGCUGCUGCAGCUCAAAGAGCCCCGCGAGCUGAGGCGGGCGCCUCACAGCCCUGCUGAUUUGUAGGGAGAGCUGCAGGGCCUUGGAGCUGAUACAGAACCACUGCAGGAGUGGGAAUUGGUUCUGCUUUCUGCUACAUGGAAUUUGAUUUGAUUAGUCUAAUCUAUUGCAUUAUUCUUUACCACAUGCAAAACUCUUCAACCUGAUUAAAGCUGACAUUUAAGCUAAGAGAUGAGAACUGGAAUGGAGUAAUAAGGAAAAAUUAUUUCACAAGCUUUUGCAGUGUAGAUUUGUUGGGUAAAUCAAUUACAUUUAAAAUUUAAGGUUGAGACUUGACCCUAAAUCUCCUUCAAGGAAAAGGAAAGGAUUAAUUCCUCAAUUUGUUACAUUUUAGCUUUACAGAGAGCUUCAGCAAAGCCCACAGAAGUUUGUACAGGUGCUGCUGGUUUGGAAUGGUGAUUUUAGAUAUGAGUGGUAAGCAGCAAUGAAUGCUAGCUUACAAAAUCUCACAUCAACAUGUUUAUUGUCUUUAGGAUCUGGAAUUAUGGCUCUAAGACCUUCCUAAGGCUAUGGAGUCGCUGUGCAAGCAGUUGUUUCUGGGUCGCUGAAGGAAAAUUGUGAGCUGUAUACUGGAUCCAUU